AUCUAUUUCAUCUCGUCAGCACCUAUAAACUCUGCCUCUAACUGUAGCUCCAGAGACACUAGUUCCCAGAGUUCCCCUCAGACUCCCACCGGCUACGAGAUGCCCGUCUUCCCUUCGCCGCUUGGAGAUGAUUGUAUUCGGAUCCCCUACGGCACCAAGCUAUCCCUCUACAUAUCUAAAGACUCUGAAGUCUCACAGAAAGAAUGACAAAAAACAGACAGCGAGAAAUGGUGGCAUGAGGAGUCUAUGGGAAAAAGAUGAACAGUGGAGAGAAACAGAAGUGAAUGAGAUAGAGAGGUGGGAGAGGAAAUCAAUAGACAGACUGAGACAGAUACAUAGA